rnacentral:rRNA from 1 species
UACGGAGGGGGCUAGCGUUGUUCGGAAUUACUGGGCGUAAAGCGCACGUAGGCGGCUUAGCAAGUCCCAUGUGAAAGCCCGCGGCUUAACCGUGGAAGUGCAUGGGAAACUGCUGAGCUUGAGUACUUAAGAGGAUCGCGGAAUUCCCGGUGUAGAGGUGAAAUUCGUAGAUAUCGGGAGGAACACCAGUGGCGAAGGCGGCGUCCUGGGACGUGUACUACUGACUGACGUGUGG